CCUACGGGAGGCAGCAGUGGGGAAUAUUGCACAAUGGGCGAAACCCUGAUGCAGCAACGCCGCGUGAGCGAUGAAGGCCUUCGGGUCGUAAAGCUCUGUCCUCAAGGAAGAUAAUGACGGUACUUGAGGAAGAAGCCCCGGCAAACUACGUGCCAGCAGCCGCGGUAAUACGAGGGGGGCCAGCGUUAUCCGGAAUUACUGGGCGUAAAGGGUGCGUAGGUGGUUUCUUAAGUCAGAGGGGAAAGGCUACGGCUAAACCGUAGUAAGCCUUUGAAACUGGGUAACUUGAGUGAAGGAGAGGAAAGUGGAAUUCCUGGUGUAGCGGUGAAAUGCGUAGAUAUUAGGAGGAACACCAGUUGCGAAGGCGGCUCUCUGGACUGUAACUGACGCUGAGGCACGAAAGCGUGGGGAGCAAACAGGAUUAGAUACCCCUGUAGUC
rnacentral:rRNA from 1 species